rnacentral:pre_miRNA from 1 species
GAUGUACUCCCUCCGUCCCAAAAUAAGUGACUCAACUUUGUACUAACUUUGUACUAAAACUAGUACAAGUUGAGUCACUUAUUUUGGGACGGAGGGAGUAAUAA